AUUGAACGCUGGCGGCAGGCCUAACACAUGCAAGUCGAGCGGAGUGGCGGACGGGUGAGUAAUGCCUAGGAACCUGCCCGGUAGUGGGGGAUAACUUCCGGAAACGGGCGCUAAUACCGCAUACUAUUAGAUGAGCCUAGGGCGGAUUGGCUCGUUGGUGGGGUAACGGCCUACAAGGGCGACGAUCCGUAACUGGUUUGAGAGGAUGAUCAGUCACACUGGAACUGAGACACGGUCCAGCCGCCUACGGGAGGCAGCAGGGGGGAAUAGUGGACAAUGGGCGAAAGCCUGAUCCAGCCAUGCCGCGUGUGUGAGGAAGGUCUUCGGGUUGUAAAGCACUUUAAGUUGGGAGGCGUUACCUGCAGAAUAAGCACCGGCUAACUACGUGCCAGCAGCCGCGGUAAUUC
rnacentral:rRNA from 1 species